rnacentral:rRNA from 1 species
AGUGAACGCUGGCGGUAGGCCUAACACAUGCAAGUCGAACGGCAGCACAGUAAGAGCUUGCUCUUACGGGUGGCGAGUGGCGGACGGGUGAGGAAUACAUCGGAAUCUACUUUUUCGUGGGGGAUAACGUAGGGAAACUUACGCUAAUACCGCAUACGACCUACGGGUGAAAGCAGGGGAUCUUCGGACCUUGCGCGAUUGAAUGAGCCGAUGUCGGAUUAGCUAGUUGGCGGGGUAAAGGCCCACCAAGGCGACGAUCCGUAGCUGGUCUGAGAGGAUGGUCAGCGACACUGGAGCUUAGACACGGUCCAGACUCCUACGGGAGGCAGCAGUGGGGAAUAUUGGACAAUGGGCGCAAGCCUGAUCCAGCCAUACCGCGUGGGUGAAGAAGGCGUUCGGGUUGUAAAGCCCUUUUGUUGGGAAAGAAAAGCAGCAGGUUAAUACCCCGCUGUUCUGACGGUACCCAAAGAAUAAGCACCGGCUAACUUCGUG